rnacentral:hammerhead_ribozyme from 1 species
AUUCAGCUGACGAGUUUUAAAUAGGAAGAAACGUGCGUCCUGAAU